rnacentral:rRNA from 1 species
AUUGAACGCUGGCGGCAGGCCUAACACAUGCAAGUCGAGCGAGCGGCGGACGGGUGAGUAAUGCCUGGGAAUUGCCCAGUCGAGGGGGAUAACAGUUGGAAACGACUGCUAAUACCGCAUACGAUUGGAUUGCGCAGGUGAGAUUAGCUAGUUGGUGAGGUAAUGGCUCACCUAGGGGACGAUCCCUAGCCUGUGUGAGAGGAUGGUCGGCCACACUGGAACGGGUACACGGUCCAGACUCCUACGAGAGGCAGCAGUGGGGAAUGUUUCGCAAGGGGGGAAACCCUGAUGCAGCCAUGCCGCGUGUGUGAAGAAGGCCUUCGGGUUGUAAAGCACUUUCAGCGGGUAGACGUUACUCGUAGAAGAAGCACCGGCUAACUCCGUGCCAGCAGCCGCGGUAAUUC